ACACGGCGACAUGGGCGUAUUCGAUGUACAUAAUGUCUGCUCUACACCCAGCUUCGGCGCAUAGCAUUACACCAUCACAUUGAACAGUGAGUUGUUGUGGCGCGCCUGGGCGCGGCUCAGAUUUCACAUGUUCUCUUCUGCUUGCCAAUCAAGCAUCACCGAUCGUGUAUCUCAUCUCAUCGUCUCCCAUCAUUGCCCACGGCAGUCACUGGAAAGGGUGAACUUGGAGACAAGUCUGUUUGCUAAUGAUCUCUCUCUCUCUCUGUGGUUUUGAGGUGACAGUAGUCUCUGAGAGGAGUCGCCUGCUGUUUAUACUCAAUGGUAUCAUGCGCGCUUCGCUACCUCUCAGCUGACUCCAUCUCGAUGCUAAGGUGGUUGUCUGGUUCUGUUGAUGUGCUCACUGUUGCUGCCAAAAACUGAGCCCCCCUCCUUAGAGUGUCCUGCGUUUCUCUGUGGCCAGUCCCAGCCUGAUGGGCAUGCCUGACUAUGUUGGGCCCACAAAUAACAGACUGGUGAGGCACUCAGACGUGUGCUUACGAAUACUGCUUUCGCCCACCUCACCCUUUCUGCACUGCAUGUCUCUUACCCUGCCACUGCAAGUUACUUUCUGUUUCCUCUUUUUUCAG
rnacentral:misc_RNA from 1 species